rnacentral:rRNA from 1 species
CCUACGGGAGGCAGCAGUGGGGAAUAUUGGGCAAUGGGCGCAAGCCUGACCCAGCAACGCCGCGUGAAGGAAGAAGGCUUUCGGGUUGUAAACUUCUUUUGUCAGGGAAGAGUAGAAGACGGUACCUGACGAAUAAGCCACGGCUAACUACGUGCCAGCAGCCGCGGUAAUACGUAGGUGGCAAGCGUUGUCCGGAUUUACUGGGUGUAAAGGGCGUGUAGGCGGGUUGACAAGUCAGAUGUGAAAUCCUGCGGCUUAACCGCAGAACUGCAUUUGACACUGUUGAUCUGGUGUACUGAAGAGGCAGAUGGAAUUGCUGGGGUAGCGGUGAAAUGCGGAGAAAUUAGGAGGAACACCAGUGGCGAAGGAGGUCUGCGGGACAGCAACGGACGGUGAGGCGCGAAAGGGUGGGGAGCAAACAGGAUUAGAUACCCCGGUAGUC